rnacentral:tRNA from 1 species
GCUCGAAUAGCUCAGUUGGCUAGAGCGUGUAGCUGUUAACCACCUGGUCGGAGGUUCAAGCCCUCCUACUAGCG